rnacentral:rRNA from 1 species
UACAGAGGUGGCAAGCGUUGUUCGGAAUUACUGGGCGUAAAGGGCGCGUAGGCGGCCUUCUAAGUCAGACGUGAAAUCCCCCGGCUUAACCUGGGAACUGCGUCUGAUACUGGGAGGCUUGAGUAUGGGAGAGGGAUGUAGAAUUCCAGGUGUAGCGGUGAAAUGCGUAGAUAUCGGAAGGAACGCCGGUGGCGAAAGCGGCCCGCUGGACCCUCUCUGACGCUGAGGCGCGAAAGCCAGGGGAGCAAACGGG